GCGGCUUUGGCGCUGGCGGUGCGGGCGCCCCGGGAAGCCGCCGCGCGCUUUCAUGUGGGCAGGGGGCUCCCGGCACGCGAGGCCGGCCCACGCGCACAGCCUCCCGGAGGCCCGCGGCAUCUGGAUCGGCUGCGGUGGCGACAUGCUCGCAGCCUGGCUUCUUCAGGGCUCAAAGCAGAGCACCCGCCCUUGGGGAGGCAUGUGGUCCCCAGCAGGCGCUGCUCCGCGGCUGGUCUCCUCCGAGGGCGCGUCCUUGUGGAAAAGUGAAAAUUAACCACGGCAGGGAAGGGCUCGCACGGCUUGCUGCGCGAUCUGGGGGAUCUCUAGUCCCAGCUCUAGAGUCCCAUCAGCAGCUGCCAAAAAGGCUGUGCAGGGGACAUGUCUGCAAGCCAUCUGCAUCCAGCAACUUGCCAAGGUGAUGAUGCCUGGAUACCAGGCAGAGCAGUGGAUCCAGUGAGCGAUGGCCUGCCUGGGAGCCGGGAGAUAGUCUUCCCCAGCAUCUGUUAACAGUGGGCUCCCAAGUCCCCCUCUUUCCGGUGCCUGCCCUGGUUUCAUCUCUGCCCAUGCGCAGUUUCCUUUGCCACAGAGACACUCUAAGCAACUUGUACAUCACCGCAGCAUUUUCACAAGCUGUUCUCAGCAAGGAAAGCCCAUCCCAUCCUCCUGAAGGACACCUGGCCUUCAGCCGGAAGCUGCUCCUUAGAGUCUGGUUGAAUGCUACUUUUGUGCACUCCUCUGAGAAAGAAUAUUUACAGAGCCUUGCGGCAGCCUGGAUAGUUAUCCAGGGUCGUGCUAUGACUCUUCCUUUAUACAAAGGCAAGCGGUAGGCUGAAAUAGCACAUGAGUGAGUGAGCAAGAGAGUGAGCAAGCAAGAGACUGGUUAAAUGAAAGACUUGGGAAAGGCCAUUUCACUGACUACUGACUAGCCCUGGGUGGUGUUCGAUAAACCCUAUUGGAAUCCCAAGGAACCAGAGUAACUCUUUGGUUGUGCAAAGAGUUUGUCUGGGCUCCCAGGUGCAGGCUGCAGUGCACUUGGGAGAUGCUUGCUCUCAGCGAGGAAGGACCCACCAAGACCAAAGGAAACACCGUUGGUAUCAAGAUCUAGGGCCAAAGCCAGCGUGCGGAUCUAUCAAGAUUCUAGAGGAAUAUGGAAACAAAACCAAGCACGAUAUAACAAGGCUCAUUCUGCCUUCCCCUUGUGCCAGCUCAGUUCUGAUAACACAUAGUGGGUACAGAGAGCAUCGCUCCUCCCCACUCCUGUGCCCAAUUGCCACCAGUGUUUAAAGUUUGCAGAGCCUUCCCAAGUGUGCUCACUGGGGAUGAUUGCAUGGGUGUGGAACUCUUCUUCCCAGAUUUUAAGAUGGUCAUCAAGCUGAGCAUGGUGGCUCAAGUCUUUAUUCCCAACACGCGAGAGGCAGAGGCGGGAAGAUCUAUGAGGUCCAUGACAGCCUGGUCUACAGAGCAAGUUUCAGGACUACAUAUGGAAACCGUGUCUUGAAAACAAAAACAAAACUAGCCAAGUAACCAAAAACAUAAAGAACAUAAGGUUUCCAUAGUUCAAUGAAUCCUGAGAUUUUUAGUGAAUAUUAGGCAAUACAAAGCGACAUGACACGUGGUUCUUGCCACCAGGAGCACUCAAACUUGACCAAGGAAGAAGUAUGUGAUCAACAUGAUAGAAACAUCAUGGAAGCCGGGGCCAAGAUAAAGGUGAGGUCUGUUCUCUGUGAGGUCAGAGAAGACCACAAAGAAGCUUGUAGAAGGGACCUUGAGGGGUGGACAAGAGUCCUCUGAAGACAGAGUGACUGUGAGGAAAGCUCUGAGAGACAGGUGCUGUGACAAGGGAAGUGUGACACCAUAUGGUCACAGCCUUUCAUUGUAUGGGUAUGGCUGCUGCCUUUGGCUAGAUGAUAUUAACCCUUUUGACUUUUUGAGUUGACAGAGACGAUCAGAGCAAACACGGUUUAUAAACUUGAAAUUCCUGG
rnacentral:lncRNA from 1 species